rnacentral:rRNA from 1 species
UGGGGAAUAUUGCACAAUGGGCGCAAGCCUGAUGCAGCGACGCCGCGUGAGGGAUGAAGGCCUUCGGGUUGUAAACCUCUUUCGUCAGGGAACAAGGCACUGCUUUUUUGGUGGUGUUGAGGGUACCUGGAUAAGAAGCGCCGGCUAACUACGUGCCAGCAGCCGCGGUAAUACGUAGGGCGCAAGCGUUGUCCGGAAUUAUUGGGCGUAAAGAGCUCGUAGGCGGCUGGUCGCGUCUGUCGUGAAAACUUCCGGCUCAACCGGGGGCUUGCGGUGGGUACGGGCCGGCUAGAGUGCGGUAGGGGUAACUGGAACUCCUGGUGUAGCGGUGGAAUGCGCAGAUAUCAGGAAGAACACCGAUGGCGAAGGCAGGUUACUGGGCCGUUACUGACGCUGAGGAGAAAAAAGCGGGGGGNGCGAACAGGAUUAGAUACCCUGGUAGUCCACGCCGUAAACGUUGGGCACUAGGUGUGAGGCUCCUUUCCGGGGGUUUUGCGCCGUAGCUAACGCAUUAAGUGCCCCGCCUGGGGAGUACGGCCGCAAGGCUA